rnacentral:rRNA from 1 species
CCUACGGGUGGCAGCAGUGAGGAAUAUUGGUCAAUGGCCGAGAGGCUGAACCAGCCAAGUCGCGUGAGGGAAGACGGCCCUACGGGUUGUCAACCUCUUUUGUCGGGGAGCAAAGCGAGUCACGUGUGACUCCUUGAGAGUACCCGAAGACAAAGCAUCGGCUAACUCCGUGCCAGCAGCCUCGGUAAUACGGAGGAUGCCAACGUUAUCCGGAUUUAUUUGGUUUAAGGGGUGCGCAGGCGGAGGUGCAAGUCAGCGGUCAAAUUGCGGGGCUCAACCCCGUACUGCCGUUGAAACUGCAUCCCUUGAGUGCGCGAGAAGUAUGCGGAAUGCGUGGUGUAGCGGUGAAAUGCAUAGAUAGCACGCAGAACUCCGAUUGCGAAGGCAGCAUACCGGCGCGCAACUGACGCUCAUGCACGAAAGCGUGGGUAUCGAACAGGAUUAGAUACCCUGGUAGUC